CAAAGAGUAAAUAACAUCAUUGGUGCUAUUGACAAUGUAUAGGGAAGCAUUAGAAUCAAACACCAGACUGUCAUUGCUAACCAGAGUUCCAGUGGUCCAGUAUCCACGAUCAGAGAAGUGAAAAGCAGAAAGCACCAAAUUCCCAUCAUUUUGCAUUUCCAACAUGAAAUUUCCAGUUGAGUAAUCAGCAGUCCCUUUUGCAUUUGAAAAGAGCUUUUGG
rnacentral:misc_RNA from 1 species